rnacentral:lncRNA from 1 species
CACACACACACACAAAAAAAAUUAGCCUGGCAUGGUGGCAUGCGCCUGUAGUCCCAGAUACUCGGGAGGCUGAGGCAGGAGAAUCACUUGAACCCAGGAGGCAGAGGUUACAGUGAAUCGAGAUUGCAUCACUGCACUCCAGUCUGAGCAACAGUGAAACUCCAUUUCAAAACCAAAGAAAUAUAAGUAUUGCAGAGGUCGAGGCACUCUGAGAAAGGCAGGUAGGACAGCAGUUUCUAGAAUCAUAAUUUCUGUUUCAAAUUUCAGCUCUCUCAUUGGCUACAUGACUUUGGGCAUGUCACUUAAACUCCUGGAAUCUGUUUCUUUGUCUGUGUAAUUGAACAAAGCCAGUAUCUACACAAAGAUUUGCUGAGAGAAAUGAAUGAGAGCAUGUGCAUAAAAUUCCUAGCACUGAACUAAGUGCACAAUAAACAAAAAAGUAAUAGUUGUAAUUAAACUGCUGGAGAGGAUAGGCCAAAGCCUUCCAGAGGUUCCCAUCUGACUGCAAGGUCCUGUCUCGAAGAGGGGCCUGGGAUGCCAUAGGGUCUGUGCCCAGAAAGGUUCAUGCCCAUUACAGGAUUCGAGGAUUUGCCAUCAUAACUGCAAGGAUUCCUUAUGCUUUUUAUGGCACUUGAUAGUUUAUAUCCAUUAUCUUGUGAAGAAGGUAUUAUAACAAUAUCCAUUUUACAGACAAAGAAACUGGGGAGGUUACACAGCUAGAGAAGAAGGAUUAAAACCCAGGGCGUUGGACUCCUGUUCCACAUGACUUUGAGCCUUCCUGGCAGAGAGUCUCGCUCUGUCACCCAGGUAGAGUGCAAUGGCACGAUUUUGGUUCACUGCAACUUCCACCUCCCGGGUUCAAGCGAUUCUUGUGCUUCAGCCACCUGAGUAGUUGGGAUUACAGGCAUGUGCCACCACAUCCAGCUAAUUUUUGUAGAGACAGGGUUUCACCAUGUUGCCCAGGCUGCCUCAGGUGAUCCGCCCACCUUGGCCUCCUAAAGUGCUUGGAUUACAGGCAUGAGCUUCAAUCCUGCAUUUUUUGACUUCUAUUGUUAUUAUACAGUCCAUGAUUCAUGACUCAAUUUUUUUACUU